AUCGCUUCUCGGCCUUUUGGCUAAGAUCAAGUGUAGUAUCUGUUCUU
ensembl:snRNA U2 U2 spliceosomal RNA